rnacentral:tRNA from 1 species
GGCCAAGUAGCUCAGUCGGUAGAGCAGAUGACUGAAAAUCAUCGUGUCGGCGGUUCAAUUCCGUCCUUGGCCACCA